CGCUGUCUCGUGACUGCUGGAGACGUCGGCAGAUAUUGCCGGAGGCCAGCCGGACAGGACCCAAGCACGGCAGACAGUCGCAGACAUCAGUGAGAACGACCACAGGCAAAACCAACGGCGCACGCGCCCCGUGGCGGACGAAGAUAGGUGCAUGAACGGUGGCGGAGCGGAGCGAGGUGGACGGACGUGAAGCAGUGAGCAGCACAACGCGCAGAAGACCGAUCAGCACCCAUGCGGCGCUGAACGCGACACAAUGCUUCUAUCAUCCAAACAGGGCCCGGUCAGGUGACCUGAGACCAUGCGCGUCAGCAGCGAUGCAGGUCGUCGUAAAGAUCUUCCUGGUCGGCUGGCUGGCAUGCUGUGGCGCUGCCGCCGCGCCGCCGGCCUCUCCAGCGCCGCCAGUCCUGCACGGCUCGCUGUCGCAGCCGGAGCCC
rnacentral:lncRNA from 1 species